CGAGAAAGCCCGCAAGGGUGAGUAAAGCGGCGCACGGGUGCGUAACACGUGGGUAAUCUUCCUUGGAGCCCGGAAUAACUCCCCGAAAGGGGUGCUAAUGCCGGAUGAGACCACGGGAUCCCCGGAUCCUGAGGGAAAAGGCGGCCUCUGUACACAAGCUGUCACUCCUAGAUGAGCCCGCGGCCCAUCAGCUAGUUGGCGGGGUAAUGGCCCACCAAGGCUACGACGGGUAGCUGGUCUGAGAGGACGAUCAGCCACACUGGAACUGAGACACGGUCCAGACUCCUACGGGAGGCAGCAGUGGGGAAUCUUGCGCAAUGGGCGAAAGCCUGACGCAGCAACGCCGCAUGUGUGAUGAAGGUCUUCGGAUCGUAAAGCACUGUCGCGAGGGACG
rnacentral:rRNA from 1 species